GAGACACCCUUAUGGGGCAGGACUUGCUUCAGUGGGUCUUUGUCACUCACUGAGUCUGCCUCCUGAGUGUGUCUGU
rnacentral:pre_miRNA from 1 species